rnacentral:rRNA from 1 species
UACAGAGGGUGCGAACGUUGCUCGGAAUUACUGGGCGUAAAGCGCGUGUAGGCGGAGCGCUAAGUCGGGCGUGAAAUCCCCAGGCUCAACCUGGGAACUGCGCUCGAAACUGGCGUUCUCGAGUAUCGGAGAGGGUGGCGGAAUUCCUGGUGUAGAGGUGAAAUUCGUAGAUAUCAGGAGGAACACCGGUGGCGAAGGCGGCCACCUGGACGAUCACUGACGCUGAGACGCGAAAGCGUGGGGAGCAAAC